rnacentral:rRNA from 1 species
GUUCAGUAGGUGAACCUGCGGAAGGAUCAUUA